AUGGCCGCCGCCGCCACCCCCAACUCCAUGCUCCUCCACCGCGCCAGCCCCAAGGCGGCCCCCUCCGCCCGCGUCCCGGCCCGCGCCGCCAGGAUCCGCUGCCAGGCCGUCGCGGCGCCCGCCGCCCCCUCCCCCCUCGCCGCCGCGGGCGAGCGCGGCGUCUACAACUUCGCGGCGGGCCCGGCCACGCUCCCGCUCUCCGUCCUCCAGAGGGCGCAGGCGGAGCUGGUCAACUACCGCGGCUCCGGCAUGAGCAUCAUGGAGAUGAGCCACCGGGGCAAGGAGUUCGACGCCGCCAUCAAGAAGGCCGAGGCCGACCUGCGCGCGCUCCUCGCCGUCCCCGACACCCACGAGGUGCUCUUCCUGCAGGGCGGCGCCACCACCCAGUUCGCCGCCGCGCCGCUCAACCUCUGCGCCUCCCCCUCCGACCCCGCCGACUUCGUCGUCUCCGGCUCCUGGAGCGACAAGGCCUUCAAGGAGGCCGGGAAGUACUCCGCCGCCGCCGUCGCCUGGUCCGGCAAGGCCGCCAAGUACACCUCCCUGCCGGCGGACUUCGGCGCCCUCGCGCAGAACCCCGGGGCCCGGUUCCUCCACAUCUGCUCCAACGAGACCAUCCACGGCGUCGAGUUCAAGGACUACCCGGAGCCGAGGAACGAGGCGGGCCUCCUCGUCGCCGACAUGUCCUCCAACUUCUGCUCCAAGCCCGUCGACGUCUCCCGCUUCGGCCUCAUCUACGCCGGCGCGCAGAAGAACGUCGGCCCGUCGGGCGUCACCAUCGCCAUCGUGCGCAAGGACCUCGUCGGCCGCGCGCAGCCCAUCACGCCGGUGAUGCUCGACUACAAGACGCACGCCGACAACGCCUCGCUCUACAACACCCCGCCCUGCUUCGCCAUCUACAUCUGCGGGCUGGUGUUCGAGGACCUGCUCGCGCAGGGCGGCCUCGCCGAGGUGGAGAAGAAGAACCAGCACAAGGCCGGCAUCCUGUACGACGCCAUCGACGCCAGCGGCGGCUACUUCGUCUGCCCCGUGGACAAGCCGGUGCGGUCGCUCAUGAACGUGCCCUUCACGCUGGCCAAGGGGGCCGACUACGAGAAGCAGUUCAUCGCCGAGGCGGCCAAGGAGGGCAUGCUGCAGCUCAAGGGGCACAGGUCGGUCGGCGGCGUGCGCGCCUCCAUCUACAACGCCAUGCCGCUCUCCGGCGUGGAGAAGCUCGUCGCAUUCAUGAAGGACUUCCAAGCGAGGAACCCUUGA
rnacentral:rRNA from 1 species